UGAGAAAUGUUUUAUUUUCAUUUUUUUCCCGUUUUAUAAAGGGUUUUUCUAUUAAUUUUUUUUUUUAAUUUGUAUUUGUUUUUUCUACAAAAUCCACUUAAAAAUAGGACGACGUUGUUUGCCGCCAAGGCGUGACACAAAAAAAUGUUUGGUUAGUGUGUUUUUGAGGGUUCAUAAGAGGUUCGCUUGCCUUCUCGGCCAUAAAAAAAGAUGCAUUUUUUAAAAAAGGUUUCAUUAUUUUGCUUAAACAUCUUGCAUAUAGUCGAAGUCAGCUGCUGUGUCAUGUUUGAUAUUCAGGGAUAACUGCAAAUUAGGCUAUCACGCCAAAUUAGGAUAGUAGCUUAGUAGAAGAUUUCCCAUAGGCUAGAUAGGAGAUCAUCUCCUAUUUAGGAGAUGUGUUUUCUUCUUUUACGAUUAUCUCGACAACCACGUCUGGUCGCGGUAUCUUCAUUCAGAGUUUUGUUGCUCAUUACAUCACCUUCGUUCAAGCAAAAUUUUUUAUAGUUUGCUUCACGGGACUUAAAAUUAUACUUCAAAAGUCUUUGGAUCGGCUAAUUAGACAAGAAAUAGUCUAUUUAGGCUAUGUGCCACCAUGCGCGCGGGAAAUUUAGCCUUUUUUAGAAGCAACCGUGGCCGUAAAACAAAGAAGCCGUAACACAGCGCAUGCGUUCUUAAUAAAAACAAACUAAACGAUAUAUCGUCUGACAGCGCAAAUAAUAAAGAAAAAUAUAUUUGGACCAUCAAAAGGAGGUUCUAUAGAAUGUUUUUAGCUAAUAAAAUCAUUGCGAUUAUGCAAUAGGCAGCAAAAGCCAUGUUGUUAGACUAUUAGAAGAGAUAAAUCGCCUAAAUAGGCUAUCGUAGACUAAUUAGACUAUCAUAGCCUAAUUUGCGGUUAUCCCUGACUGUUUGAUAGAGAUAGAUAGAUAGAUAGAUGUGCAUAUUUUACAUGGCUAGCCUCACAAAUAUCGAGGGAUAUACCCUGUCUAUUAUUUCCAGGAGGGGCCAUGGCUUAGAUGGAGAGUCCUAGAGUAUUUAAUGCUCAUUUUGAGCGACGCAGACCCAAUUAGGGCCCGCGCUCUACUAGACAUGAUUCCUUUGAAGCCAUAAUGCACACAAACCAGCUUUGGGCGGAAUUUAGCUAGAUAGUAACAAUGCUCCACAAUGCUUCGACAUUUGAUUCUUGAUGAGGUGUACAGGGUUUUGGAUGGUAAGCUUGGCCGAAAUCAUCUAGCAGCUACUAACCAUUGGUGCUGAGGUUUGAGGUAAGGAAAUAUAUGUACUGUGGUUUGUGUGGUUCAAGGAAAAGAUAAUGUUGGUAGAUUUUCCUUUGCUUGUUUCAUCAUUCUCUUAAAAAUUCGGACACUGGAAUAAAAAAGUGCUUUUUUUUCUCAAUGGACGUUCGGUUGGAGGAUACUAACUAAACUUUUUUUGUGUCAUGCCCAAGUAUAGCUAGCAUGACAUUAUUUGUUUUUCAGUGGCCCUCGGUGCAAGCAAUCCACUAUGGCUUUUUGUGAUUUUUUGGCUAUCAGUUUAAAUAUUUAUUAUUAUUAUUAUUGUCAUUAUUAAUUUUCGGUAGUAAGCUAUUUGGCUAUGGCAUUUGCGUGGAAGGAAAAAAUAUGUUUUACUGUGAAUUUCUUCUCAUGGAAACAUCAUUUAAGGUUUUAAAAUAUUAUCGAGUCUAUAGAUUGCUGCCUUCUGAUUUAUUUUAAUUCGUUUAACGUCCUAAGAAUCAAAGUCAUAAAAAUUCUUCACAUAGCAUCCUUGUUUUUUCCUGCCACGCAGAUGUCAGAGCUGAAAGUGUAAACACUGAAGUGUAAACAACAAAUUCAUCUAUAGCUACCACUAUACACUUGUCUACAUAUAUUAGCAUUAGGUCAAGUUGUAUAAGUUCAAUGGAAAGGUAAGUCUAUUACAUUAAAUUGCAUUUCAGGAAUGCUCAAUGCAAGUUUGCGAUUUCAGCGGACAACCGCCAAUUUAUUUCAAAAAGUCACCCAAAUUUGCCCUUAUAUAUGCUAGUGUUUGCGGCUUAGGCUCCAGAUUACUAGUUUAAAAUGACGUGGAAGCUCCAAAUAAAGGAGGUGCGCAAGUUAUGUGUAAUGGCACUAGUUGGGUCAUUCUAAAAGCAGCAAAGAGAAUCCGAAUAAUUAACAGAAUAUUUAAUUUUGUGUUUUUCACAAAGAAAUCAAGUAAUUUUUUAAAGAUUUUCAGGUUUUAAGUUGGGCUAAGUGGAUGAAUUAAACCAAAUAUAUUUCCCAUCACUGCCUUGGCAAACUUACACAUAGCAUAAUGAAAAAAAUGUAUUAUAAGCAUAUGGCGUUAUAGGUGAGUGUUACAAAAAAUGUUGGCAAACUUGUACUACUUGACACUAGGCUUUUUUAAUGUUUUGGGCAUGGCAGACAAAUAGAUGGGUGAAUCUUUUUCAGUCCAUUUAUUCGUAUGCACAAACAAUUUGGAAAUCUAGGUCUUUCUAAGUAAGGCAAUUAUUUUUGUAAAAAGUAAUGAAGAGUAUAGCAAAGUUUUGUUUGCAUUAAUAAAAUUACUGUGUAACCAAUAAUGCAAGUCUUGUGUCAUGUUAGAUUAUACAUCAGACUGUACUGUACACUUUGCUUUCCAGAUUUUAUUUAGGAAGUUAUUCUAUUUAAGCUUAUAAGUUGAUUUUUAGGGGGCUAUCACUCUACUAGUAAUAUUAUUGUAUUUAAUUUCCUAGAUUUAAUAACAAAUACAUUAAUAAGCUUGGAUGAAAGCAUAUUUGGGAUGAAAAUCAUGGUUAUACCUUGAGACAUAAAUACAUAAUUUGAAACAAUAUUUAAUAAUAAAAUUCUACAGUUUAGCAGACUUUUUAUUGUUUUGUUUGUUUCAAUGUCUGAAUUUUGUGUGUUUACAUUUUGUAGUAUAAAUAAACUAACCAGGAUAUUAUUUAUCUGUUCCCAGUCAAAUGGAUGUCUUGUGAAGUAGCUCUGUUUGUGUUAAAAAUAUUUAAAAUAUAUUUUUCUAGUUUUAGCAGAAUAAUAGCAUAUUGAUUAUGGAUGAUGCAUUGGUGUUCGGUUUGAGUAAAUAUCCAGCAAUAGCUAAUAGAAUAUGUACAUUAAUAUACACAAUAAAUAAUUUUCAAGUUUUUUUUGUUGGAACUUGGCUUUAAUAGUUUGUUGGUUAUUUUAUCAUUGGUUGGUGUGUCAAAAGAUUACUUAAAAGACUAUAAAGACAUAUUUUAAAGUGGAAAAGCUUAGCAUUUUCCUAAUGAAGAAAAGGACAAACAACAUAGAGUUGUUUGUUGUUACUGAAUGGAAAUGUUUAUUUCAGAGAUGAUUUCCUUUUUUUAGUAUUUUUUAAACUGGUUGUUUAUAAAUCUGCAUAUAAAGAUAUUUGCUUGACAAUCUUGACUUGAAUUAUUAUUCUUUUUUUAUUUAAUUCUUGUAUGUCUUUAUUAUUAUUUUCAAGACAGUAUACCAGCAUUCCCAGUUUA